CUGCAGGCAGACGACCCGCGAACAGUGAAAACAAACGCGGGCGAUGGGCCCUCUGGGUCGGUCGCUCUAAGCCCGAGUGGAGGGGGGGACGUGGGGGACCACAGCCCCUCCCCCCCACACGGGCACAACGAACCCCGGCGCGAACUGUGCCAAGGAACCAAACAAAGAUGUGCGCCCCCUCCGCCUGGAAACAGUUUGGAAGGGGGACGCGUCGUCGUCCAUAUUACAUAUGAAACGACUCUCGGCAACGGAUAUCUCGGCUCUCGCAUCGAUGAAGAACGUAGCGAAAUGCGAUACUUGGUGUGAAUUGCARAAUCCCGUGAACCAUCGAGUUUUUGAACGCAAGUUGCGCCCGAAGCCGUCAGGCCGAGGGCACGCCUGCCUGGGUGUCACGCAACGUCGCCAACAACCCCCUCACCCCCCCUGCGAAGGGGAUGGCGAGGGGUGGCGGAUAUUGGCCUCCCGUGCGCACCCGCUCGCGGUUGGCCCAAAUAACAGCCCCUUGGCGAUGGCAGCCACGGCAUGCGGUGGUUGGAAGCACUGGCUCAUUGAACCGCUGUGGGCGAGCCUCGUCGACGGGGAGCAAGAGACCCUGACGCAAGCGUCCCAACAAAGCGACC
rnacentral:rRNA from 1 species